AGUGAACGCUGGCGGUAGGCCUAACACAUGCAAGUCGAACGGCAGCACAGUAAGAGCUUGCUCUUACGGGUGGCGAGUGGCGGACGGGUGAGGAAUACAUCGGAAUCUACUUUUUCGUGGGGGAUAACGUAGGGAACUUUAGCCUAUAACCCAAUCGACCUUCGGGGUGAAAGCGGGGGUCUUUCGACCUUUCGCCGUUUAAUUAGGCGAUGUCGGAUUAGCUAGUUGGCGGGGUAAAGGCCCACCAAGGCGACGAUCCGUAGCUGGUCUGAGAGGAUGAUCAGCCACACUGGAACUGAGACACGGUCCAGACUCCUACGGGAGGCAGCAGUGGGGAAUAUUGGACAAUGGGCGCAAGCCUGAUCCAGCCAUACCGCGUGGGUGAAGAAGGCCUUCGGGUUGUAAAGCCCUUUUGUUGGGAAAGAAAAGCAGCAGGUUAAUACCCCGCUGUUCUGACGGUACCCAAAGAAUAAGCACCGGCUAACUUCGUG
rnacentral:rRNA from 1 species